CAGCAGCCGCGGUAAUUCCAGCUCCAAUAGCGUAUUGUAAAGUUGUUGCAGUUAAAAAGCUCGUAGUUGGAUUUCGGGCUCGGCGACGACGGUCAGCCGCAAGGUAUGUCACUGUCGGCGUUGGCCUUCUUCGCGCAGACUUCGCGUGCUCUUAACUGAGUGUGCGUCGGAUACGCGACGUUUACUUUGAAAAAAUUAGAGUGUUCAAAGCAGGCUCGUGCUUGGAUACAUAAGCAUGGAAUAAUGGAAUAGGACUUUGGUUCUAUUUUCCGUUGGUUUCUUGAACCGAAGUAAUGAUUAAUAGGGACAGUUGGGGGCAUUCGUAUUUCGUUGUCAGAGGUGAAAUUCUUGGAUUUACGAAAGACGAACUAAUGCGAAAGCAUUUGCCAAGAAUGUUUUCAUUAAUCAAGAACGAAAGUUAGAGGAUCGAAGACGAUCAGAUACCGUCCUAGUUCUAACCAUAAACGAUGCCGACUAGGGAUCAGCGAGUGUUAUUUGAUGACCUCGUUGGCACCUUAUGGGAAACCAAAGUUUUUGGGUUCCGGGGGAAGUAUGGUUGCAAAGCUGAAACUUAAAGGAAUUGACGGAAGGGCACCACCAGGAGUGGAGCCUGCGGCUUAAUUUGACUCAACACGGG
rnacentral:rRNA from 1 species